rnacentral:rRNA from 1 species
UAAAGGAAGCGAUUCCGGCUACGGAUGGUCAUGCGUCGCAUUAGCUUGUUGGCGGGGUAACGGCCCACCAAGGCGACGAUGCGUAGGGGUUCUGAGAGGAAGGUCCCCCACACUGGUACUGAGACACGGACCAGACUCCUACGGGAGGCAGCAGUGAGGAAUAUUGGUCAAUGGCCGCAGGGCUGAACCAGCCAAGUCGCGUGAGGGAUGACGGUCCUAUGGAUUGUAAACCUCUUUUGUCAGGGAGCAAAGGGCGCCACGUGUGGCGUUUUGCGAGUACCUGAAGAAAAAGCAUCGGCUAACUCCGUGCCAGCAGCCGCGGUAAUACGGAGGACGCGAGCGUUAUCCGGAUUUAUUGGGUUUAAAGGGUGCGCAGGCGGAAUGUCAAGUCAGCGGUAAAAUUUCGGGGCUCAACCCCGUCGUGCCGUUGAAACUGGCGUUCUUGAGUGAGCGAGAAGUAUGCGGAAUGCGUGGUGUAGCGGUGAAAUGCAUAGAUAUCACGCAGAACUCCGAUUGCGAAGGCAGCAUACCGGCGCUCAACUGACGCUCAUGCACGAAAGCGUGGGUAUCGAACAGGAUUAGAUACCCUGGUAGUCCACGCAGUAAACGAUGAAUACUAACUGUCCGGGCAGAAUGAUGCCUGG